AACAAAAUCAUUACAUAGUUGGAGAUAAUGCACUUCUAGUUAAUAAUACAUAUCAAGGCCACUUGCAAGUUCAUGAAGUAGCGGGAAUGAAGUCACUGCAUUCAACAAUGUACAUGAUAGUAUAUUAUGUAGAGUCAAUCAAUAUUCAGGAACUAGUAUACUGGUGUUCGAUUACGAAUCUAGAGGAGAUCUGUAUGAUGUCUUACUUCGGGAAUAAUCCGUGAACUCAUUUUAAUAUCGUGAUAUUUUUUUAGCGCUUUGAACGGUAGAAGAUAAAUCGACACUGCUGAAUGAAUUGAAACCGCAGAAUAAACCUACACUGGGGAAUAAAUCGACACAGCUGGAUAAAGCGCUUUGAACGGUAGAAGAUAAAUCGACACUGCUGAAUGAAUUGAAACCGCAGAAUAAACCUACACUGGGGAAUAAAUCGACACAGCUGGAUAAAGCGCUUUGAACGGUAGAAGAUAAAUCGACACUGCUGAAUGAAUUGAAACCGCAGAAUAAACCUACACUGGGGAAUAAAUCGACACAGCUGGAUAAAGCGCUUUGAACGGUAGAAGAUAAAUCGACACUGCUGAAUGAAUUGAAACCGCAGAAUAAACCUACACUGGGGAAUAAAUCGACACAGCUGGAUAAAGCGCUUUGAACGGUAGAAGAUAAAUCGACACUGCUGAAUGAAUUGAAACCGCAGAAUAAACCUACACUGGGGAAUAAAUCGACACAGCUGGAUAAAGCGCUUUGAACGGUAGAAGAUAAAUCGACACUGCUGAAUGAAUUGAAACCGCAGAAUAAACCUACACUGGAGAAUAAAUCGACACAGCUGGAUAAAGCGCUUUGAACGGUAGAAGAUAAAUCGACACUGCUGAAUGAAUUGAAACCGCAGAAUAAACCUACACUGGAGAAUAAAUCGACACAGCUGGAUAAAGCGCUUUGAACGGUAGAAGAUAAAUCGACACUGCUGAAUGAAUUGAAACCGCAGAAUAAACCUACACUGGGGAAUAAAUCGACACAGCUGG